rnacentral:hammerhead_ribozyme from 2 species
UUGCGAAACGCCUCCCGGCUCCGGCUGGGGGCGUCGUCCACGGGUCGCGCCGUGGGCCUGAUGAGCAGCGACAC